GCCAGCGUGGCGUAGUGGUUUGAGUGUUGGACUACAACUCUGGAGACCAGGGUUCGAUUCCCAGCUCAGCCA
rnacentral:tRNA from 1 species